GUGAGCCUGAUCCGCCCCUGCAAAAAAAAAAAAGUUUUGUCUGCGGAGUGAAGUUAAGCUGGUCAAGGGCGGUCCUGCGAGUUGGCAACCUUUAGAUGCAGCUCCAUGUCGACCUUACGUCAGGUGGCUUCACAGUGUCGCACCGUGCCCGUGGCGAGUCUGCCCGGUUCUGCCUUUGACUGCACGGCGAUCAAUCAUUUUGUGAUCACCUCAUUAGGCGCGAUCGUUUCAAAAGACCCAGUGGCAUUUCGUGGAAGACUAUGCCACCACCUUUUUUUCCUCAUAGCGUAAUUGCGCCAUUCCGGCGCACAGUGGGACGGAUCUCGAAAAAGGUGGACAUAAUUCAAAUUUCUACAAUAUCACAUUAACUUUUUUGUUCAUACAGGGUGAAUCUACAACCUUUAAAGCAUCCAAAACGAUUCUUCUCGCAUUUUUCAAUCAGGUGUGUCGUUUUCUAUGAGCCCUCAAAGGUCCGUCACUAGAAGCGCAAAUUACAAGUAUUUUAUAUGCUGUUUCUCACUAAACAGGGGCCUGAAAUCCAAACCAAAGUUAAGAGGGAUGCGCAAAGUUUUUUGAUGGAUUUGGACAUGUCAUAGCUUCAAUGACUUUUUAAAGAACACUUUUCUCACCAAUCGAUUUUGGAGAGGAUUUGUGACCGAGCUAUUGACUUUCAUGGGGGCAAAGAAACACUACGCAAGAUUUUGCUCGAGUUAGGGUUCAGGUAUGGGAAAGUGAGAGAGGGGCGUUUCUUAAAAGAGCGGCCAUCUAUUGCUCUUAAGCGCUACACGUUCCUCCGCAAGUACCAUGCCAACCAUACUGCUCUAGUCCCCAAGGAGGUCUUGUUCCAGGACGAAACCUGGACAUUCACAGAGGGGACUUGAAAGGUACGAAAAUGGCAAGACAGAUCAGUAGAGAGCUGCUCGUCAUCAAGUUGGUCAGGAGCACAAUACAUUGUGUCCCACAUUGAGGGACAAGCUGGAUUUGACAAAAAUGCUGGCAUGUUUGUCAAGUCUUGCAAAAACCCCAAACCAGAGGAUGACUACCAUGGCGACAUGACAGGGCCCACAUGGAACAGAUGGCUGGAUGAAAGGGUGCUUGCCAAUUUUAACAGACCAUCCUUGAAUGUGAUUGACAAUGCUCCCUACCAUACUGUCCAGGCAAGUGAA